GAGGGCAGAGCUCAGGGGCAGAGCACGUGCUUAGCAUGCACGAGGCCCUGGGUUCCAUCCCUAGUGCCUCCA
rnacentral:tRNA from 1 species